GACAGAGGAUGCAAGCGUUAUCCGGAAUGAUUGGGCGUAAAGCGUCUGUAGGUGGCUUUUUAAGUCCGCCGUCAAAUCCCAGGGCUCAACCCUGGACAGGCGGUGGAAACUACCAAGCUGGAGUACGGUAGGGGCAGAGGGAAUUUCCGGUGGAGCGGUGAAAUGCGUAGAGAUCGGGAGGAACACCUGUGGCGAAGGCGGCCCCCUGGGCCGGCCCUGACGCUGAGGCGCGAAAGCGUGGGGAGCAAACAGG
rnacentral:rRNA from 1 species